AUGGUGAGGGCGUCUGUAAAGGAAGAUGUGAAUGUGGCGGAGAAUGUCGGAAGUGAUUGGGGAAAAGUGUCUGCGGUUCUGUUUGACAUGGAUGGAGUAUUGUGCAACAGUGAAGAGGCGUCAAGGUUGGCUGCCGUUGAUGUGUUUGCUGAAAUGGGGGUUCAGGUUACUGUCGAAGAUUUUGUGCCAUUCAUGGGUACCGGUAAGGGUUCUGCUUUUCAUCAUUGUAUUCAAAUUAAUUAGGAGGUUAUGGAUGGCCAUUAACCUUUUUCCAUCUAUGCAUCUGCUGUAUUUUAGUAGCUACAUUAAUUGGUCUCGAAGUGCAUAUUUAGGGGGGUCUACAACUUAGAAUAUGAACCAAGAUAUUGAUUUUCAUUUGUUUUGCUGUAUGGUUUUAUAGGCUUAAAUGAUCAUAUGUUAUUAAACGGAAAAUUCCAAUCAAUAGCAAACCACUAGUGCUAUAAAUUCGUCAAUGUACUUAAAAGAUUGUUGCAAAAACAAUAUAGUUUUCAUCAAUUACUAUAAAAACCAUUCCACUUCACUCAUCAUCAAAUCGCCCUAAAUAAUCAAAUAUGAAAAGUAUAUUGGUUUUAGUAAUUUUGGUCAAAAUAAUCAUUCUGAAAAGUACGAUAGUUUCACUAAAAUUUUCUAUGUGAACGACCAAACUAGAAAUCAAGUAAAAGUAUGUUGCUAUUUAUUGCGAUUUCCUCUUUAUCAAAAGGAAAGAAAGAUUGCAAAAACUUUCCACUAAUUUGACAAAAUUUCAUUCUAAAAUUAAUUUUCUACAUAUUGCACUAAUUAGAAAGUAUUGACAUUUUGGUUGAAUAGAAUCUCAAAUUUAUUUAACUAACAGUUGAAUCUAUCCACAGGCAAAAGUUGCAUUUUUUGGGCUGUAAGAAAUAUUGUCUUUAUCAAUUUCAUUUUGAAGAACCAUAAUAUCUAAAUGGAUUUAAAUACAACCAAGGAUGUAGCAUACAUUUACAGGCAGCCUAUGAUUUCAAUGAUAAACUUUUGCUACUUUUGACUUUGAGCAAGAAGAUCUGUAAUGCAAUAAUUGCAUUAAAAUGUACAUGUACUACAAAAUAGAAAAAGAAAGGCUUAAAUGCAAGAAAUGGCAACCUAUCCUACUUCCAUUUCUUCCUAUUACAACUUUGUACUUGAAAAAAUCUACCCAAUUAUAGCAAGGUCAUCCAAAUACAAAGCAAUUUUCACUGCUAUAAUUGAGUAGAAUUUUCAAAGUAAAGUGUCUUAACAAGAAAAGAAUCGAAAGUACAAUGCUAUAAUUGGGUAGAUUUUUCAAAGUACAAUGCCUUAAUAAGAAUUUUUUUUGAAAGUGAAGGAUGGUAUAAUAAACAAAAAAAUUGAAGUACGUUGCUUUUUCUUGCAUUUAGCCCCAAAAGAAAUGAUACCAAACAUGUGAUAGUUCGUUUAAUUCUGAAUUUGGGAAAUACUAGAUUUGAACUCUACAUAUUGUUGAUUUUAAACUUGUCUUUUACAUUUCCCAAACUUUUUCUGAUUCCUGAAUUUUUAUUAUAUUUAUUUAUUUAAAAUUUUUGAACCAGGUGAAGCAAACUUUCUUGGUGGUGUUGCUUCUGUAAAGGGUGUUGCAGAUUUCAACACUGAGACAGCUAAGAAGCGUUUUUUUGAGAUCUAUCUAGAUAAGGUUGAUUUAACUACAUCAUUUUCUCUCUUCAAACAGGCUUAAAAUAAUAAAAUUAUCAUUUUCUUCUUAGUUGAUUCCAAAAUUGUUGAUACUUUUUGUAGUAUGCAAAACCAAAUUCUGGAAUAGGUUUUCCUGGUGCACUUGAACUUAUCACUGAGGUAUUCUUGACUAACAAAUACAAGUUUAAUAUAUAUUUACUUAUCUCCUCAACUAUUAUCUUCUAAUAUGAUUUUUUUAAUAGUGUAAAAACAGUGGUCUCAAAGUAGCAGUUGCAUCUAGUGCUGACAGAAUUAAAGUUGAUGCAAACUUAGCUGCUGCUGGCUUACCAUUGUCAAUGUAAUAACUAAUAAGUCUUUUCAGUUUUCAGUAGAAUUGUCAAUUGUCAUUUUCACAUAAGUAUUAAUCUUAAUCUCACUAUCAGGUUUGAUGCUAUUGUCUCUGCUGAUGCUUUUGAAAACCUGAAACCUGCUCCUGACAUUUUCUUAUCUGCCUCAAAAACUUUGAAUGUCCCCCCA
rnacentral:lncRNA from 1 species